GGGUUGUGAGGUUAAGCGACUAAGCGUACACGGUGGAUGCCCUGGCAGUCAGAGGCGAUGAAGGGCGUGCUAAUCUGCGAUAAGCGCCGGUAAGGUGAUAUGAACCGUUAUAACCGGCGAUACCCGAAUGGGGAAACCCAGUGUGACUCGUCACACUAUCAUUAACUGAAUCCAUAGGUUAAUGAGGCGAACCGGGGGAACUGAAACAUCUAAGUACCCGAGGAAAAGAAAUCAACCGAGAUUCCCCCAGUAGCGGCGAGCGAACGGGGAGGAGCCCAGAGCCUGAAUCAGCAUGUGUGUUAGUGGAAGCGUCUGGAAAGGCGCGCGAUACAGGGUGACAGCCCCGUACACAAAAGCGCAUGUGCUGUGAGCUCGAUGAGUAGGGCGGGACACGUGGUAUCCUGUCUGAAUAUGGGGGGACCAUCCUCCAAGGCUAAAUACUCCUGACUGACCGAUAGUGAACCAGUACCGUGAGGGAAAGGCGAAAAGAACCCCGGCGAGGGGAGUGAAAAAGAACCUGAAACCGUGUACGUACAAGCAGUGGGAGCACAGGUUUACCUGUGUGACUGCGUACCUUUUGUAUAAUGGGUCAGCGACUUAUAUUCUGUAGCAAGGUUAACCGAAUAGGGGAGCCGGAGGGAAACCGAGUCUUAAUUGGGCGUUAAGUUGCAGGGUAUAGACCCGAAACCCGGUGAUCUAGCCAUGGGCAGGUUGAAGGUUGGGUAACACUAACUGGAGGACCGAACCGACUAAUGUUGAAAAAUUAGCGGAUGACCUGUGGCUGGGGUGAAAGGCCAAUCAAACCGGGAGAUAGCUGGUUCUCCCCGAAAGCUAUUUAGGUAGCGCCUCGUGAAUUCAUCUCCGGGGGUAGAGCACUGUUUCGGCUAGGGGGCCAUCCCGGCUUACCAACCCGAUGCAAACUGCGAAUACCGGAGAAUGUUAUCACGGGAGACACACGGCGGGUGCUAACGUCCGUCGUGAAGAGGGAAACAACCCAGACCGCCAGCUAAGGUCCCAAAGUCAUGGUUAAGUGGGAAACGAUGUGGGAAGGCCCAGACAGCCAGGAUGUUGGCUUAGAAGCAGCCAUCAUUUAAAGAAAGCGUAAUAGCUCACUGGUCGAGUCGGCCUGCGCGGAAGAUGUAACGGGGCUAAACCAUGCACCGAAGCUGCGGCAGCGAACGUAUCACUUAAAGCGAUUCAGCGGGUUACGAUUGACGGAGCGAAGCGACGUCAAAGCGUAUACAAAGUCGAGUCGGUUUAAGGAUACGUUCGUUGGGUAGGGGAGCGUUCUGUAAGCCUGUGAAGGUGGCCUGUGAGGGUUGCUGGAGGUAUCAGAAGUGCGAAUGCUGACAUAAGUAACGAUAAAGCGGGUGAAAAGCCCGCUCGCCGGAAGACCAAGGGUUCCUGUCCAACGUUAAUCGGGGCAGGGUGAGUCGACCCCUAAGGCGAGGCCGAAAGGCGUAGUCGAUGGGAAACGGGUUAAUAUUCCCGUACUUGGUGUUACUGCGAAGGGGGACGGAGAAGGCUAUGUUGGCCGGGCGACGGUUGUCCCGGUUUAAGCGUGUAGGUGUGUGUUCCAGGUAAAUCCGGUUCACUUUAACACUGAGGCGUGACGACGAGGCACUACGGUGCUGAAGCAACAAAUGCCCUGCUUCCAGGAAAAGCCUCUAAGCAUCAGGUAACAUCAAAUCGUACCCCAAACCGACACAGGUGGUCAGGUAGAGAAUACCAAGGCGCUUGAGAGAACUCGGGUGAAGGAACUAGGCAAAAUGGUGCCGUAACUUCGGGAGAAGGCACGCUGACACGUAGGUGAAGUGAUUUACUCAUGGAGCUGAAGUCAGUCGAAGAUACCAGCUGGCUGCAACUGUUUAUUAAAAACACAGCACUGUGCAAACACGAAAGUGGACGUAUACGGUGUGACGCCUGCCCGGUGCCGGAAGGUUAAUUGAUGGGGUCAGCGCAAGCGAAGCUCCUGAUCGAAGCCCCGGUAAACGGCGGCCGUAACUAUAACGGUCCUAAGGUAGCGAAAUUCCUUGUCGGGUAAGUUCCGACCUGCACGAAUGGCGUAAUGAUGGCCAGGCUGUCUCCACCCGAGACUCAGUGAAAUUGAACUCGCUGUGAAGAUGCAGUGUACCCGCGGCAAGACGGAAAGACCCCGUGAACCUUUACUAUAGCUUGACACUGAACAUUGAGCCUUGAUGUGUAGGAUAGGUGGGAGGCUUUGAAGUGUGGACGCCAGUCUGCAUGGAGCCGACCUUGAAAUACCACCCUUUAAUGUUUGAUGUUCUAACGUGGACCCGUAAUCCGGGUUGCGGACAGUGUCUGGUGGGUAGUUUGACUGGGGCGGUCUCCUCCUAAAGAGUAACGGAGGAGCACGAAGGUUGGCUAAUCCUGGUCGGACAUCAGGAGGUUAGUGCAAUGGCAUAAGCCAGCUUGACUGCGAGCGUGACGGCGCGAGCAGGUGCGAAAGCAGGUCAUAGUGAUCCGGUGGUUCUGAAUGGAAGGGCCAUCGCUCAACGGAUAAAAGGUACUCCGGGAUAACAGGCUGAUACCGCCCAAGAGUUCAUAUCGACGGCGGUGUUUGGCACCUCGAUGUCGGCUCAUCACAUCCUGGGGCUGAAGUAGGUCCCAAGGGUAUGGCUGUUCGCCAUUUAAAGUGGUACGCGAGCUGGGUUUAGAACGUCGUGAGACAGUUCGGUCCCUAUCUGCCGUGGGCGCUGGAGAACUGAGGGGGCUGCUCCUAGUACGAGAGGACCGGAGUGGACGCAUCACUGGUGUUCGGGUUGUCAUGCCAAUGGCACUGCCCGGUAGCUAAAUGCGGAAGAGAUAAGUGCUGAAAGCAUCUAAGCACGAAACUUGCCCGAGAUGAGUUCUCCCUGAGACUUUAAGUCUCCUGAAGGAACGUUGAAGACGACGACGUUGAUAGGCCGGGUGUGUAAGCGCAGCGAUGCGUUGAGCUAACCGGUACUAAUGAACCGUGAGGCUUAACCUUACAACGCCGAAG
rnacentral:rRNA from 1 species